rnacentral:rRNA from 1 species
UGAACGCUGGCGGCGUGCUUAACACAUGCAAGUCGUACGAGAAAUCUUCAGCUUGCUGAAGAGAGUAAAGUGGCGCACGGGUGAGUAACGCGUGGAUAAUCUAUCCUUGAAUCGGGGAUAACAUUGCGAAAGCGAUGCUAAUACCGGAUGAUAUCAUAAAGGCUUCGGCCUUAAUGAUCAAAGAUGACCUCUACCUGUAAGUUGUUGUUUGAGGAGGAGUCCGCGUACCAUUAGCUUGUUGGUAGGGUAACGGCCUACCAAGGCCACGAUGGUUAGCUGGUCUGAGAGGAUGAUCAGCCACACUGGAACUGACACACGGUCCAGACUCCUACGGGAGGCAGCAGUGAGGAAUUUUGCGCAAUGGGGGAAACCCUGACGCAGCAACGCCGCGUGAGUGAUGAAGGCUUUAGGGUCGUAAAGCUCUGUCAAGUGGGAAGAACCUAUCCGAAAUUAAUACGUUCGGGUAUUGACGGUACCACUGAAGGAAGCACCGGCUAACUCC